AAACGUUUUGUUGAACUAUUUCAAGGGUGACACCAAGCACACCAUGUAUAGCAAUGCCCUUAUCUACCAGGGAGCUUCUCUUACAUAAGUGUUUCAUAGUGCGGGCUUCCAAAAUGAGUUCUUAAAGGGACACUAUAGUCGCCCAGACCACUUCAGCUCAAUGAAGUGGUCUAGGUGCCAGGUCCCUCAGGUUUUACCCUUCAGAUGCAAAUAUAGCUGUUUCAGAG